rnacentral:rRNA from 1 species
UACGUAGGGUGCUAGAGUUGUCCGGAUUUACUGGGUGUAAAGGGUGCUCAGGUGGGUUUGUAAGUCAGAGGUGAAAUCCCAAAGCUUAACUUUGGUGCUGCCUUUGAUACUGCAAGUCUGGAGUUUGAGAGAGGGUAAUGGAAUAUCUGGUGUAGCAGUGAAAUGCGUAGAUAUCAGAUAGAACACCAAAUGGCGAAGGCAGUUACCUGGCUCAAUACUGACGCUAAAGCACGAAAGUGUGGGGAGCAAACAGG